CACGUAGGCACCAAGCGUUGUCCGGAUUUAUUGGGCGUAAAGAGCUCGUAGGCGGCUUAGUAAGUCGGGUGUGAAAACCCCAGGCUCAACCUGGGGACGCCACCCGAUACUGCUAUAGCUAGAGUCCAGUAGGGGAGUGUGGAAUUCCCAGUGUAGCGGUGAAAUGCGCAGAUAUUGGGAGGAACACCAGCGGCGAAGGCGGCACUCUGGGCUGGUACUGACGCUGAGGAGCGAAAGCGUGGGGAGCAAACAGG
rnacentral:rRNA from 1 species